ACAUCCAGAGAACUUAGCAGAGAUGCUUUGGUGCCUUCGGGAACUCUGAGACAGGUGCUGCAUGGCUGUCGUCAGCUCGUGUUGUGAAAUGUUGGGUUAAGUCCCGNAACGAGCGCAACCCUUAUCCUUUGUUGCCAGCGGUUCGGCCGGGAACUCAAAGGAGACUGCCGGUGAUAAACCGGAGGAAGGUGGGGAUGACGUCAAGUCAUCAUGGCCCUUACGGCCAGGGCUACACACGUGCUACAAUGGCGCAUACAAAGAGAAGCGACCUCGCGAGAGCAAGCGGACCUCAUAAAGUGCGUCGUAGUCCGGAUUGGAGUCUGCAACUCGACUCCAUGAAGUCGGAAUCGCUAAUAAUCGUAGAUCAGAAUGCUACGGUGAAUACGUUCCCGGGCCUUGUACACACCGCCCGUCACACCAUGGGAGUGGGUUGCAAAAGAAGUAGGUAGCUUAACCUUCGGGAGGGCGCUUACCACUUUGUGAUUCAUGACUGGGGUGAAGUCGUAACAAGGUAGGCGUAGCGAG
rnacentral:rRNA from 1 species